AGAUGCCAUCACAUCUAUUAGCAAGAAAGACAGGAUCGUCGGAUCCAGCGGCCCUAACUUCUUUGCUGGUGGAUCCGACUAGCUGGAA
rnacentral:pre_miRNA from 1 species